AUUGAACGCUGGCGGCAGGCUUAACACAUGCAAGUCGAACGAGUGGCGGACGGGUGAGUAAUGCUUGGGAAUCUAGCUUAUGGAGGGGGAUAACUACGGGAAACUGUAGCUAAUACCGCGUACUAUAGGAGGAGCCCAAGUGGGAUUAGGUAGUUGGUGAGGUAAAGGCUCACCAAGCCGACGAUCUCUAGCUGGUCUGAGAGGAUGACCGGCCACACUGCGACUCGGACACGACCCAGCCUCCUACGUGCGGCAGCAGUGGGGAAUAUUGCGCAAUGGGGGCAACCUGACGCAGCCAUGCCGCGUGAAUGAAGAAGGCCUUCGGGUUGUAAAGUUCUUUCGGUAGCGAGGCGUUAACUACAGAAGAAGCACCGGCUAACUCCGUGCCAGCAGCCGCGGUAAUUC
rnacentral:rRNA from 1 species